rnacentral:rRNA from 1 species
GACGAACGCUGGCGGCGUGCCUAAUACAUGCAAGUCGAACGAGAGCAACCGGUGCUUGCACUGGUCAAUCUAGUGGCGAACGGGUGAGUAACACGUGGGUAACCUGCCCAUCAGAGGGGGAUAACAUCCGGAAACGGAUGCUAAAACCACAUAGGUCUUCGAACCGCAUGGUUUGAAGAGGAAAAGAGGCGCAAGCUUCUGCUGAUGGAUGGACCCGCGGUGCAUUAGCUAGUUGGUGAGGUAACGGCUCACCAAGGCCGUGAUGCAUAGCCGACCUGAGAGGGUGAUCGGCCACAUUGGGACUGAGACACGGCCCAAACUCCUACGGGAGGCAGCAGUAGGGAAUCUUCCGCAAAGGACGCAAGUCUGACGGAGCAACGCCGCGUGAGUGAAGAAGGUUUUCGGAUCGUAAAACUCUGUUGUUAGAGAAGAACAAGUGCUAGAGUAACUGUUAGCGCCUUGACGGUAUCUAACCAGAAAGCCACGGCUAACUACGUG